rnacentral:rRNA from 1 species
GACGAACGCUGGCGGCGUGCCUAAUACAUGCAAGUCGAACGCAGUGGGGACGGGUGAGUAACACGUGGGUAACCUCCCAUCAGAGGGGAUAACACGUGGAAACAGGUGCUAAAACGAUACUGAUGGAUGGACCCGCGGUGCAUUGGCGAGUUGGUGGGGUAACGGCUCACCAAGGCCACGAUGCAUAGACGACCUGAGGGGGGGAUCGGCCACACUGGGAUGGAGAGACGGCCCAGACUCCUACGGGAGGCAGCAGUAGGGAAGCGUCGGCAAUGGACGAAAGUCUGACCGAGAAACGCCGCGUGAGUGAAGAAGGUUUUCGGAUCGUAAAACUCUGUUGUUAGAGAAGCGGUAUCUAACCAGAAAGCCACGGCUAACUACGUGCCAGCCGCCGCGGUAAUAC